rnacentral:sRNA from 1 species
UCGGAGUUUGGCCCCUACUCUGACCCCACCCCAGCUCCGCUCCGCCUUGGGUUCCGGCAGAACCCGCCUUGCGGUAGCCAUGGCAGCAGGCUCCGAGGCGACCACUCCUGUGAUCGUUGCAGCUGGGGCUGGAGGGGAGGAAGGUGAACAUGUCAAACCUUUUAAGCCAGAGAAAGCAAAAGAAAUUAUCAUGUCUUUACAACAACCUGCAAUCUUCUGUAACAUGGUGUUUGAUUGGCCAGCACGACACUGGAAUGCUAAAUACCUUUCACAGGUCCUUCAUGGCAAGCAGAUACGAUUCAGAAUGGGGAUGAAAAGCAUGAGCACAGUUCCUCAGUUUGAAACUACAUGUAAUUACAUAGAAGCUACACUCGAAGAGUUUCUGACCUGGAACUGUGACCAGUCUAGUAUUUCUGGACCAUUUAGAGAUUAUGACCAUUCCAAGUUCUGGGCUUAUGCUGACUAUAAAUAUUUUGUCAGUCUAUUUGAAGACAAGACAGAUAUUUUCCAGGAUGUGAAAUGGUCUGACUUCGGGUUUCCUGGAAGAAAUGGACAGGAAAGUACAUUGUGGAUUGGCUCCUUGGGAGCCCACACACCCUGUCAUCUGGACUCCUAUGGUUGUAACUUGGUAUUCCAGGUACAAGGAAGGCUGGAGUGCAAUGGCAUGAUCAUAGCUCCUGGACCUCAAGCCAUCCUCCUGCCGCAGCCUCUCAAGUAUCUAGGACUACAGGAAACGAUGGCAUCUCUUUCCUCCUGAAGAUACUCCUUUCCUUUAUCCAACUAGAAUCCCUUAUGAAGAAUCUAGUGUGUUCAGUAAAAUCAAUGUUGUCAAUCCUGA